rnacentral:lncRNA from 1 species
CUGUGAUCUGUGGCCGUGUGUCAGUAAGUUGACAAUACGAAACUAGUUUUCAGUGGAUACUUAUUUGCUAUUCUUGCCCAAUAAAACUAUAAAAAAUAAGUUACAUUAGUUGCAACACGAUAAGCAUCUAAUUUCAGUCUUUUAGGUGUUGCAAUAUAGAAAUUGGGCAAUUUUGAUUUUGCACACACACAAAAGUUUCUAUUUGAAUCAGGUGUAACGGUUCAAAAUGAAUUUAGCUAGUGGUCCACCUGCCUACCAACCCGUUGUUCUCAAAUGUGGGUAGUUAUAAGUUAUAAUUAUAUUUGUAUCUCGCUCCCAAACAUCAGCAGUCUUUAUCAUGGUUUUGUCUGGCAACGUGGUAGUUGCCCCACUUUCGCGGACCACCGUUAUCCAAAGCAAGGGACGAAGAAUUGGUCCAGAAACGAGACCCAGCAAAUCAAGUACAAUCUACCACUCUUCCCAGCUCAACCGUCACCUGGACCACCGAGUCUGCCAUCUUUCUGCGGUCUGUUGUAGAUCUUACCUGCCUACUUGAAAUCCGCUCGUAGGGCCAUCAGCUGCCUCCUGGUUCCCGACUGGAGAUUUUGAAUCACGAUAUUGGUGAAUUGGAUAGCCAGGAACAGUCUGGAUGAGAUAGAUUGUUAACUCGCACGCAGACAUCGACAGCAUGAGGUGUCGGCGACUUUAUAGAGUCUGAGCUGGUGUUUGGGGCGAGUAAUGCCACUUGUUAUAAAUAUUUUCUGGUAAACCUUUAUUAACUCAUUCAUUUCAUUGUAUUAGAUUAAGUAUUUCGAGUAUUUUAGUAGAUCAAACGGUUAGCAGACGGUAACUUGUGGUCGUCAAACCACGUGUUUCUUUAUAGUUUUUUUUUGUAUAAGUUUAAAUAAUAUAUCUAUUAGGUCUUAAGUAGGUAUUUUGGCAGCAUACCACCGCUGAGCGUUUUAGCUUUGCUGCGGAAGCUAGUGGCGCUUCAACGAAUUCACCCUUCGGGCUUUGCACACGACCGCCCGAAAUACCUUCUCGUUUUAAAUUUAAAUUCAAAUUCAAAUUCAAAUUCAAAAUAAUUUUUAUUCAUCACAUACAAAAAAAAAUAUAUAUUCAAUAUAUGUUAACAUAAUCUGACAAAUAAUGGACCUCUCCACGAUUUAAAAACCGA